rnacentral:rRNA from 1 species
UACAGAGGUGGCAAGCGUUGUUCGGAAUUAUUGGGCGUAAAGGGCGCGUAGGCGGCUCGAUAAGUCAAAGGUGAAAUCCCUCGGCUCAACUGAGGAACUGCCUUUGAAACUGUCGAGCUUGAGUCCGGGAGGGGGUAGCGGAAUUCCCAGUGUAGCGGUGAAAUGCGUAGAUAUUGGGAGGAACACCAGUGGCGAAGGCGGCUACCUGGACCGGAACUGACGCUGAGGCGCGAAAGCGUGGGUAGCAAACAGG